rnacentral:rRNA from 1 species
CCUUUUGUAUAAUGGGUCAGCGACUUAUAUUCUGUAGCAAGGUUAACCGAAUAGGGGAGCCGAAGGGAAACCGAGUCUUAACUGGGCGUUAAGUUGCAGGGUAUAGACCCGAAACCCGGUGAUCUAGCCAUGGGCAGGUUGAAGGUUGGGUAACACUAACUGGAGGACCGAACCGACUAAUGUUGAAAAAUUAGCGGAUGACUUGUGGCUGGGGGUGAAAGGCCAAUCAAACCGGGAGAUAGCUGGUUCUCCCCGAAAGCUAUUUAGGUAGCGCCUCGUGAAUUCAUCUCCGGGGGUAGAGCACUGUUUCGGCAAGGGGGUCAUCCCGACUUACCAACCCGAUGCAAACUGCGAAUACCGGAGAAUGUUAUCACGGGAGACACACGGCGGGUGCUAACGUCCGUCGUGAAGAGGGAAACAACCCAGACCGCCAGCUAAGGUCCCAAAGUCAUGGUUAAGUGGGAAACGAUGUGGGAAGGCCCAGACAGCCAGGAUGUUGGCUUAGAAGCAGCCAUCAUUUAAAGAAAGCGUAAUAGCUCACUGGUCGAGUCGGCCUGCGCGGAAGAUGUAACGGGGCUAAACCAUGCACCGAAGCUGCGGCAGCGACACUAUGUGUUGUUGGGUAGGGGAGCGU